rnacentral:pre_miRNA from 1 species
CAACUACUCCCUCUGUCCCAAAUUUCUUGUCUUAGAUUUGUCUAGAUACAGAUGUAUCUAAUACUAAAAUGUGACUUGAUACAUUCAUAUCUAGACAAAUCUAAGACACGAAUUUUGGGACGGAGGGAGUACUUU